GUUCUGACUGUGCUUCAACUUAAUUUAGCCCAGAUUCAAAAAUAUUAUUUAUUUUACUAAAGAUUGAAUAUGACUGAUUCCGUCCAUUCAGCCUGGACCAGAGCAGGAUAACGUCCAUGCUCCGUUGGCUCAUCUCCACUCCAAAUAUUCAUCUCAACCACAGGCGGCUCUUUCCUCCUCAUACGUCUCUUAAGCUGCUGCUUCGGGGUGCGAAUUAGCCCAGCUAUGUACACCUGCCUGGACUUAGCUGCUCCUGCUUAUCCCGGUCUGGCCAGCGUGCAGUGGGAUAAGCCAGGGUGCUGUGGCCUGUGGCGUAGGCUCCCGGGAGCCCGCCGGUCACUAAGUCAGUCAGUCAGACAGACGCUGAUCUCCUCAUAUCCCUCCAUUUCUCCAUCACAUGUUCCUCUGGGGCCAUCUGGGCUUUACGUAAGACCACACAUGCCCCUCUUUGAUUUUGCUGAACCUUCUUUGCCUAUUUGUGGUUUUGUACAAUUUGUACAUCUGAACUAAAAUAAAAUUAGCCUAGAGCACCGAUAAAGUGUUCAGUGUGGGAGAUUAUUAUUACACAUAAAUUCUAACAGGGUUUUUAUUAGCUUGACAAGUGCAUAGAGGACCAUCAUCAGCAAACAUUCAUUUUAAUUCGAUUUUAAAACGAUCUGAUUUGUGUUGUCGGUUAUGAUGCUUUUUGUGGUUUGUGUUGUGUUUUGAGAGGUUCCAUCACAUUUGGCAUCUUGUAACGGUGUGAUGGGCGAUAACUCUCUCUGCUCUGCUGUGUUGUGGUCACACAGACUCUCUUCUCGACUUAAGGUCCGUUUCUGUUAGACCAACAUUACUUCCAGGCAGUGAGUCAUUCAUGAACGCACAGGUUUGGGUGCGACAGUCUGUCAAACAGACAGCGUCAGUAACGCUUGUCUCUGCAGCACUCAGCGACUCAGACGUGAAGCGAAGCCCACUGCUGAUCUGUGCCAGCUCAGACUGCAGGCGGCGGCACAAGGGUUGGCGAAAUUAACGUAAAGGCUCAGGAACAUCUGGACCUCCUAUAGUGGCGCUGGAUGACCUCGACAAGGCUCAGUUCCAGUAGUCAGCAGGAAGAGGCCCAUCCAAGGACACGCCUCUGAACCAACACAUACUGGUCGAGCAAUGAAAGAAAAACCUGCUUGCUGCAGGAUUGAAGAAAAAUUCACCCGGAUGUCCAGGAGAUCUGGGGUUCAGAGUCAAGUCUAUGGACAAGUCUAUGUAGAUCAUGUGAUGUACUGUAAGAAGCCUCAGUGUGCUGUAGACGACAUAAAGUUGGACUAACCUUCUGUCUAACUGCAGUUCUUAGAGUGAAGCUAUUCCACUAAAAACUGGGCCACAUCCAUAAAAACUUUGACUUUCUUAAAAAUAGCUAAUGUUCAGAUUCUAUAUUUUCAUGUAUUUGAGUUUUAUAUUUCCAGUAUCUUGGCAUUGCCUUAACUAGGUCACCAUUAAAACACAUGUACUCAACCACUAUGGGAUCUCAAAAAAUUUAAAUAAUGAUAAUAAAUUAAAAAUCCACUAGUUUUAAAUGCCAUCUCCCAAUAUAUUAA